rnacentral:rRNA from 1 species
GACGAACGCUGGCGGCGUGCUUAACACAUGCAAGUCGAACGGAAAGGCCCUGCUUUUGUGGGGUGCUCGAGUGGCGAACGGGUGAGUAACACGUGAGUAACCUGCCCUUGACUUUGGGAUAACUUCAGGAAACUGGGGCUAAUACCGGAUAGGAGCUCCUGCUGCAUGGUGGGGGUUGGAAAGUUUCGGCGGUUGGGGAUGGACUCGCGGCUUAUCAGCUUGUUGGUGGGGUAGUGGCUUACCAAGGCUUUGACGGGUAGCCGGCCUGAGAGGGUGACCGGCAACAUUGGGACUGAGAUACGGCCCAGACUCCUACGGGAGGCAGCAGUGGGGAAUAUUGAACAAUGGGCGGAAGCCUGAUGCAGCAACGCCGCGUGCGGGAUGACGGCCUUCGGGUUGUAAACCGCUUUCGCAUGUGACGAAGCGUGAGUGACGGUAAUGGGUAAAGAAGCACCGGCUAACUACGUG